CUGUGGACUACAUCUCCCUUGAUGCUCUGUCAGUAUUAUGGCUGUAAGAACAUUAUAGGAGAUGCAUUCCACAACAUCUGGAAUGCCGAAGGUUGCCUAUCCCUGCAUUAGAGUCUACAAUCUAUUUGCCUUGUCCACUGUAGUACCCAAUGGCGUACUGGGUUAAAACUUGUUAGCACUUUCCGCUUUAUUGUGGAAUUCGUCCACCAGGCUGCAUUCAUGAACAAACUCCAACAGGAGAAUCCAAGCUGAAGCAGGAUUGUACCCACCAGCUGAAAGACUGAGCCACAUGGCUUUCGUACAAACAGACAGAAUCACUCUUCCAGACUCUGCGACACGAAGACCAACGGCCAAGAAGUAGAAGAAUGAAUGCUUGCUGCUGCUGGGGUUGAAGACAUGUUUAUCUAAUAACUGGUUUGGCCAACUCUUGCUGGUUUUGCCAGGCUUUUACAAAAUGAUUACAUCAUGUAGCUAAACCCACACAAGCUUUCACUGAAUGGAAUACGAGUAUCAAAGAGCCAUACAUAUUUAAACAGUGUCUCAUAUAAGUAUCUAUUGCAGUCCUACAGCUUUCAAGGAACCAAUGAAAUGUCCUCCCAGCUUACAAAAACCCGAGAUGUUACUCAUUAUUUCCGCCCUGUGCUGGAUGUUUCAUCUCAAAACCUGCCAAAGAAUACAUCUUCCUCUUACGUCAGUUUUACAAGUUAUCCAGUCUGCGUUUGACCUACUCUAGUUAAAAUGUAAAACAGAAGGAGUUACAGGAGCAGUGGUGGCAUUUUAGAUCCAUGGUUAGUCAUCUGUCCACCCCAGAACAAAAUGCAAGAAAAGCAGUUUUUAUCACAGAGAGAUG